rnacentral:lncRNA from 1 species
GGGACGGGAGCGGGGAGCGGGGAGCGGGGGGCUUGCCCUGCGGGCCACCUCCCGGCGGGCGCCGAGCCGCAGAGCCGCGGCCGCAGGGGCCUCAGGGUGCCGGUCGCCGCCCCCUCCGCCCGCGGUUCCCCGAGCCCGGGCAGGACCGAGCGGCGGGGCGCCGGCUGGACCCCGGUCCCGGCUGGGCGGGCUGCCCGACCGCGGACGGACGGACGGGGCGCGCUCCUCCGACCCGGAGCCGCGAGCUGCCGGGUCCCCACGGUCCCCUCCACCUCUUCCAAAUGCCUGGGGACUCCGCACUGCUACCUGCGAGGGGACCUGUGGGGGACCCCAGAAUAACGAGCCCUGCGGUGCUCCGUGGGUCUUACCUUCGGAGCGUCAGAGGAGGAAGAAAAGAGAGGGUCCUCGGAAACCCGCUGACAUCCCCGCUCCUUCUAGGAGCACUUGGGAUUGUUGCCAAAGAGGGCAGGAAGCCAAUCCACGGAAAUGUACUUAAACCUGUCUCUACCUUUUUUGUCUCUCUGACACACCCUGAUACCCAACCCCACCCACUCCACCGCAGCUCCCAAGGCACCAGACACACGCAAGUGGCUGAAUUCAGAAGACGAUCUCUUCCGAAAGGAAAGGCACCGUCUACAGAAAGGCAGGAGGAAGGACAGGACAUGACAAGAUAUUCUCCUCUUAGCACCUGCUUCCCACAGCCAGUAAUAGACCCUUGGAUGUCCCCAGUGAGCUUCUGCCGUUCCCUGCUCUAGAAGAGACUUGAAUGUCUUCUCUCUGAGUUCGAUGGUGUCAGAAGGCCUACAUGGCACUUUCCCUGCCUGCUUCCUUAUGAAGUGGUUCUCUUCGUCCAUGGGAGAGUGUGAUUUUCCUAAUGGAUCAGAUGCAGCAGGGCCAGGAGGACUGUGGAAUUAUUCUUGAUGCCCUUCUGAAUUCUCUAGGAGGUUGUUUUUUUUUUUUUUUAAUGUCAGGAAAUGUAUUUGAUUUUCUUUUAAAGUUCGAAUAAAGGCAGUUUUCUCGCAGUUUCCUAUUACCAGGAAAAAAGUUUUCUGGUCAGUUUACCAGGAACUUACAAAAAGCGAGUUUGCCUGAGGUUCAGGAGAGCUGAAGACAUUCAUGUUUUGCAGAUACCACAGUGAUAUGUUGAGGCCUUCUCUGCGCCGGAUGCUAAACUGGCACUGGGUAUGCAGCUGUGAGGUUGGACAAGGUCCCGACCAUAAGAAGUCACAUUAAAAAGGAAAGCAAUAAAUAAGAUGAUUUCUGAUAAUAAUAAUUGCAAUGAAUAAAAAUAAUCCAAUAGUAAUGAGAG